GCUAGAUCCAGAGUGCGCACUGGGGGGAGGCCGUGCUCGGCUAAGGGACGCGUGGGUAGGCCUGAGUUUCUCCCCAGUUCAGGGCACAAGACUGGAGAGAAAGGAACCGUGGGAAGCCGCCCACUGGGGUGGACCGAGGAGGUGGCAGCACAGACGCGCGGCGGGGCCCCGGGGACGGAGGCGGGGUGGAGAGCGGGGCGGUCACCGAGCAGCGGUCCGGGGAGGAGGGUCUUGCGGGAGGAUAAAGGGAGCGGGCGGGAGGCUGGGCCAGGAGCGCGCGGGGAGGCCUCGGACCCGGCGGCGCGGAGCCUAGACGCGGGCCGGGCGUGGCCGGCAGCUCCCCGCGGUCGGUGGAGGCGGCGGAAGCGGUGGCGGCUGGCCCGGCCGGCGCCCCGACGGCGCGCACAGGGUUAACCCGCGGCGGGCCGGCGCUCGGUUUCCAGGACAACGCCGGCAGUUCCGGCGCGCAGGCUCGUACCAUCGCGCGCGCGCGGGGGAGCGCGGGGGGCGGGGGCGCGGAGGCGCGGAGAGCAGCGGGUCCGGCCCGGACGCCCCCGGCGCGGCCGCCGCUCGCCCCGGGUCGGCUCCGCGCGCGCGCUCCGUGCCGGCCGGCGCUGCCCCGCGCGCGGACGCGGGGGCCGAGCGCGCGCCGGCCCGAAGUCCCCCCGCCGGGGCGGCCGAGUGCGGGCGGCCCGCUGGCAGCUUUGAAAAGCGGGCGAGGACAAAGGCGGCCGCAGCCUCCCGGCGCCCAGCCCGAGCGCGCAGCCCGGCCCGCGCGGCGCCGGAGGAUGCGGCCGGGGGCGCGGCGGCGGCGGCGGCGGCGGGGCGGCGCGGGCCGGGCGCGGCAGAGCUGAGCCCAGCAAGGGCCGGGCUGCGGGGGCGCCCGCCCGGGAUGUGAGCGCCGAGCGCGCCGGGCGGGGAGGGCGGGCAGGGCGGCAGGAAGGACGCGCGGACGGGAGGAGGAGCGGCGCCGAGCCGGAAGGCGGGAGGCGCGUCCGUUGGGCCCGCGGCGCGGCCGGCCAGCCGCCUCGUCGCUCGGGCGGGAGCGGGGCCCGCGCCUCCUCCCCGACGCCGCGGGGAGGAAGAUGGAGACGCACAUCUCGUGCCUGUUCCCCGAGCUGCUGGCCAUGAUCUUCGGCUACCUGGACGUGCGCGACAAGGGGCGCGCGGCGCAGGUGUGCACGGCCUGGCGGGACGCCGCCUACCACAAGUCGGUGUGGCGGGGGGUGGAGGCCAAGCUGCACCUGCGCCGGGCCAACCCGUCGCUGUUCCCCAGCCUGCAGGCCCGGGGCAUCCGCCGGGUGCAGAUCCUGAGCCUGCGCCGCAGCCUCAGCUACGUGAUCCAGGGCAUGGCCAACAUCGAGAGCCUCAACCUCAGCGGCUGCUACAACCUCACCGACAACGGACUGGGCCACGCGUUCGUUCAGGAGAUCGGCUCGCUGCGCGCCCUCAACCUGAGCCUGUGCAAGCAGAUCACCGACAGCAGCCUGGGCCGCAUAGCCCAGUACCUCAAGGGCCUGGAGGUGCUGGAGCUGGGCGGCUGCAGCAACAUCACCAACACCGGUCUCCUGCUCAUCGCCUGGGGCCUGCAGCGCCUCAAGAGCCUUAAUCUCCGCAGCUGCCGCCACCUCUCGGACGUGGGCAUCGGGCACCUGGCCGGCAUGACGCGCAGCGCGGCCGAGGGCUGCCUGGGCCUGGAGCAGCUCACGCUGCAGGACUGCCAGAAGCUCACGGAUCUGUCUCUGAAGCACAUCUCCCGGGGGCUGACGGGCCUGAGGCUCCUCAACCUCAGCUUCUGCGGAGGCAUCUCGGACGCAGGCCUCCUGCACCUGUCGCACAUGGGCAGCCUGCGCAGCCUUAACCUGCGCUCCUGCGACAACAUCAGUGACACGGGCAUCAUGCAUCUGGCCAUGGGCAGCCUGCGCCUCUCGGGGCUGGAUGUGUCCUUCUGUGACAAGGUGGGGGACCAGAGCCUGGCUUACAUAGCGCAGGGGCUGGACGGCCUCAAGUCCCUGUCCCUCUGCUCCUGCCACAUAAGCGACGAUGGCAUCAACCGCAUGGUGCGGCAGAUGCACGGGCUGCGCACACUCAACAUCGGGCAGUGUGUACGCAUCACGGACAAGGGCCUGGAGCUGAUCGCCGAGCACCUGAGCCAGCUCACCGGCAUCGACCUGUACGGCUGCACCCGCAUCACCAAGCGCGGCCUGGAGCGCAUCACGCAGCUGCCCUGCCUCAAGGUACUCAACCUGGGCCUCUGGCAGAUGACGGACAGUGAGAAGGUCAGAUGAGAAUACUGCUCGCCUAAAGCCAGCCACUAAGUCCAGCCCCCUUCCACUCCACCACGAGGAGGAUCAGCUACUGAUCGCACCUUGGUUUCCAGGAAGGCGACCUCCCAGAAGCGAGUGGUGGCUGUCUGAACCCAGGAUGGACAGGCUCGGGCCAAGGGCACCACCUGAAAGGGAGCAGAAGUGGAGUUGGCCUCACCACACCUACGGGAAUGGAAGGAAAUGCUUUUAAGGAAUAGGAGCGCUAAGCACAUGAGCGGAUGUGUAAUAUGUGGGUGGCGCACAGGUUAAGAGGACUUCAGGGCAAUUUUUAGAGUAACAGAAAAAACCUGGCUCAGGUAUUUGCCAAAACUCCAGAACUGAAAAAACAAAAUAGGAACUUAGCGUAAACUUUAUCAUCUAGAAGCAAUAAACCUCAGUAGGAACUGUGUUGGUGGCAGUCAGGAAAGGGUUCCGUGUACUUGUCCGAGACUCAUGGGGCAAAAGCCAUGAAACGUCUGCUGAAAAGAUGAUGUGGGUGGCUCUGAUGUGGCCUGGUGGAGCUGCCGGUACCACCUGGAGCGCUGGGUACCAUGGACAAAGCCGCUCCUCCCGUUCAGGGCAAGAGGAAGUCGGCACGAGAGCAGAAGUGAUGGCACGAGACGGGGUACGUUGACAUCCCCCCCAAACAAAACAAUCCAAAUGGAAUUCCUCCAUCUCCUGUUUGUUAACCCAAGAAAGUGCACAUAUUUUCUUAAAAGAAGACUUAAGUUUUUUAUUAUCUCAUCACUCUUCCACUUUGUGUAAAGGACAAAUGCCCCAUGUCCUGUGCGUUCGCUUUCAUCUGUGAGAGUGGACAGCAUCCCAGUCACACAGGCGGGAUGUGGGUGCGGCCCGCGGACGCACGGAGUCUCGACCGUGUUCGGCUUCCCUGUCUCCGGAUUUGUGUUUCCCCAAAGCUGGUGGAUGCUGGACAUUUAAUUUUAUAAACGGGGAAAGAGGCUUGACGAGGGUGAAAGACUGUGCCCAGUGACCACCCCAGACUUUACCCAUCACCGGGGAGGCCGGUCCCCAGCAGGAGGGAGCGGGGGGUCCUUCCCUGAGCUGUUGUCAAGCAACACCCGACCCCCUGCUUCUGAAGAGAGCUGAGCUAGAGCACAUUAUUUUCAUCUGGAGUAAACGCCCCGAAUGCUGAAAGUUAUUAUUUAAUACGCAUUACUUAUGCAAACUCAGACGUGUACGUUACUCAUGCAAACUCCUUUUUCAAGGAGCCGGAAAGCUAGCGCGAGGAGUUGGUAAACGGGCUUAGGGUACCGGGUGGCCCGAGUAUGAGUGAGGGUCCAGUCGGUCCCCUGUCGUCCUCAAGCACGUGGGCCAGCUCUCCAGCACUGCUCCAUCAUGGACGGUGACAAACAGACGACACAAAGGCCUCCAUGCUGAGAAGUCACAGCUCCACACGCCCGGGGCCGCCUGUCACAAAGGAGAACUGAGCUGUGAGAGCACGAGGUGUUUUCUCAUCACUCAAGGAUAAAACGUCCUGACUUUACAGAUGUUUUACCUACAAAUCCCUCCUGUCCUGAAAGAGUAAAAGGGUCUAGUCCAGUGUGUUCACAUCAGCACCGCUUCUGUUCCCUGCUCUCCGGGGGAUGUCACCCGCCCUCCAGAGGCUCAGGCCUGCUCAUGGUACCAGCAGUGACCCCCUGCCGGAUCAGGGCCAGAGCGACAGGAGCGGCACAGACACAGCGGGGAAAGAGCCCAGUCCAGAUUCACUUCUUAUAAAUGGUGUGGAAUUACUCCACAUGGUUUGGAAAGCACUGUUUUCCUCAUCUAAAAAGAUGAUGCAAAUAUUUACUACAAAUGUUUGUUUGUAAUAGUGUUUUUCCUUAGGAAAGGUUUACCCCACACUGGCAUUUUUAUGCACACGCUUGUGUACGUUUGUGUGGGAAUAGCUCCCGGCUUCCACUCUGCUUUUUGAGACGUGGCCUCUAGAUAGAGAGGAACCCCCCAAACUGGUCCUCACAUUCCUUAGAAUCUUCGGUGAAAUCCCCGAGGCCAGGACUGGUCAGAUGGGUGAAGUAAGGGGGAACUGCCACAGUUAAACCCCUCAAAUUCUUAGCCUUCUUCGAUGGGAGAUACACUAACCAGGGCCUUCCGUUUUUACCUCAGUGUUUUAAACCUUAGCUUCCUAGCUUCAAAGCCCACUGCUAUGAACUACCAAAAAGAGAAAAGGCCAGUAGGUGUGCCUUGAGCAAACUAUAUGAAAAUACAGCAUUAAAGUGACAGCUUCGAGCUCUUCUAGUUCAUUUCCAAUGCACAAACUUCAGCGUCUUUCAGGGAUAUACGGUACGGCCAGGUUCUGUGGCCUGAACGUUGUCGAGCUCCCAGCGCAGCUUCCUGACAUAGCAGGCAGAGAAGCUCUUCGGGUUUUCUGAGCCUGGACUGGAUAGACGACUGGCCUUCCCAGCCUCCCUGACGUCCAGACGCCUGGCCAUUGUGCUCGGAGUCAAAGGGCGACAGGACAGUGACCCACAGCAAGGCAGCUGGCCUAUCUUUUCCCCCACACGCAAGGGUCUAAUGCUCAACGGAAUCACAGGAGGACCCGCGGAAAUUCACUCCAGUAAAGCAGGGCACAGGGUUUCGCAGUGACAGCCUCACCCCUGCUUGCGUCGGAAGCUGAACUGCGUCUCUGUAAGUUAGGAGACAGGUCGCACGGCACCUCGUGAAAGGCAGGGGUGGAAAGU